rnacentral:rRNA from 1 species
UAGGGCGGGACACGUGUUAUCCUGUCUGAAUAUGGGGGGACCAUCCUCCAAGGCUAAAUACUCCUGAUUGACCGAUAGUGAACCAGUACCGUGAGGGAAAGGCGAAAAGAACCCCGGCGAGGGGAGUGAAAUAGAACCUGAAACCGUGUACGUACAAGCAGUGGGAGCCUUGAUUUAUCAGGGUGACUGCGUACCUUUUGUAUAAUGGGUCAGCGACUUAUAUUCUGUAGCAAGGUUAACCGUAUAGGGGAGCCGUAGGGAAACCGAGUCUUAACUGGGCGAAUGAGUUGCAGGGUAUAGACCCGAAACCCGGUGAUCUAGCCAUGGGCAGGUUGAAGGUUGGGUAACACUAACUGGAGGACCGAACCGACUAAUGUUGAAAAAUUAGCGGAUGACUUGUGGCUGGGGGUGAAAGGCCAAUCAAACCGGGAGAUAGCUGGUUCUCCCCGAAAGCUAUUUAGGUAGCGCCUCGUGAACUCAUCUUCGGGGGUAGAGCACUGUUUCGACUAGGGGGUCAUCCCGACUUACCAACUCGAUGCAAACUACGAAUACCGAAGAAUGUUAUCACGGGAGACACACGGCGGGUGCUAACGUUCGUCGUGAAGAGGGAAACAACCCAGACCGCCAGCUAAGGUCCCAAAGUC